rnacentral:rRNA from 1 species
GACAGUUCGGUCUCUAUCUGUUGUGGGCGUUAGAAGUUUGAGAAGGUCUGUCCUUAGUACGAGAGGACCGGGAUGGACCAGCCUCUGGUUUACCGGUUGUGACGCCAGUUGCACCGCCGGGUAUCUACGCUGGGUUAGGAUAAGCGCUGAAAGCAUCUAAGCGCGAAGCCAUCUUCGAGAUGAAACUUCUUUUAAGGGUCGUGGGAGACUACCACGUUGAUAGGCAGAAAGUGUAAAGACAGUAAUGUCAAAGCUGAUCUGUACUAAUAGCCCGUAAUCUUAUCGAA